rnacentral:rRNA from 1 species
AGUGAACGCUGGCGGUAGGCCUAACACAUGCAAGUCGAACGGCAGCACAGUAAGAGCUUGCUCUUACGGGUGGCGAGUGGCGGACGGGUGAGGAAUACAUCGGAAUCUACUUUUUCGUGGGGGAUAACGUAGGGAAACUUACGCUAAUACCGCAUACGACCUACGGGUGAAAGCAGGGGAUCUUCGGACCUUGCGCGAUUGAAUGAGCCGAUGUGGGAUUAGCUAGUUGGCGGGGUAAAGGCCCACCAAGGCGACGAUCCGUAGCUGGUCUGAGAGGAUGAUAGGCCACACUGGAGCUGAGCCAGGGUCCAUACUCCUACGGGAGGCAGCAGUGGGGAAUAUUAGACAAUGGGGGCAAGCCUGAUCCAGCCAGACCGCGUGGGUGAAGAAGGCCUUCGGGUUGUAAAGCCCGUUUGUUGGGAAAGAAAAGCAGCAGGUUAAUACCCCGCUGUUCUGACGGUACCCAAAGAAUAAGUACCGGCUAACUUCGUG